rnacentral:rRNA from 1 species
UGAAUCAUGGCUCAGGACGAACGCUGGCGGCGUGCUUAACACAUGCAAGUCGAACGAUGAAGCCCUUCGGGGUGGAUUAGUGGCGAACGGGUGAGUAACACGUGGGCAAUCUGCCCUUCACUCUGGGACAAGCCCUGGAAACGGGGUCUAAUACCGGAUAUCACUCCUGCAGGCAUCUGCGGGGGUCGAAAGCUCCGGCGGUGAAGGAUGAGCCCGCGGCCUAUCAGCUUGUUGGUGAGGUAAUGGCUCACCAAGGCGACGACGGGUAGCCGGCCUGAGAGGGCGACCGGCCACACUGGGACUGAGACACGGCCCAGACUCCUACGGGAGGCAGCAGUGGGGAAUAUUGCACAAUGGGCGAAAGCCUGAUGCAGCGACGCCGCGUGAGGGAUGACGGCCUUCGGGUUGUAAACCUCUUUCAGCAG